rnacentral:piRNA from 1 species
UAACGUUCUGAGGAAUAGGUGUAUUCUG